AAUGCACCAAUUUGUAAGUCGCUCUGGAUAAGAGCGUCUGCUAAAUGACCUGUU
rfam:Salmo salar isolate Sally breed double haploid chromosome ssa24, whole genome shotgun sequence.